rnacentral:tRNA from 1 species
ACAUCUGUGGUUCAGUGGUAGAAUGCUCGCCUGCCACGCGGGCGGCCGGGGUUCGAUUCCCGGUCGAUGCA